rnacentral:rRNA from 2 species
AACGCUGGCGGCAGGCUUAACACAUGCAAGUCGAGCGGGCGUAGCAAUACGUCAGCGGCAGACGGGUGAGUAACGCGUGGGAACGUACCUUUUGGUUCGGAACAACACAGGGAAACUUGUGCUAAUACCGGAUAAGCCCUUACGGGGAAAGAUUUAUCGCCGAAAGAUCGGCCCGCGUCUGAUUAGCUAGUUGGUAGGGUAAUGGCCUACCAAGGCGACGAUCAGUAGCUGGUCUGAGAGGAUGAUCAGCCACAUUGGGACUGAGACACGGCCCAAACUCCUACGGGAGGCAGCAGUGGGGAAUAUUGGACAAUGGGGGCAACCCUGAUCCAGCCAUGCCGCGUGAGUGAUGAAGGCCCUAGGGUUGUAAAGCUCUUUUGUGCGGGAAGAUAAUGACGGUACCGCAAGAAUAAGCCCCGGCUAACUUCGUGCCAGCAGCCGCGGUAAUACGAAGGGGGCUAGCGUUGCUCGGAAUCACUGGGCGUAAAGGGUGCGUAGGCGGGUCUUUAAGUCAGGGGUGAAAUCCUGGAGCUCAACUCCAGAACUGCCUUUGAUACUGAAGAUCUUGAGUUCGGGAGAGGUGAGUGGAACUGCGAGUGNAGAGGNGAAAUUCGUAGAUAUUCGCAAGAACACCAGUGGCGAA